rnacentral:misc_RNA from 1 species
CCGAACGCACCCGUAGUCAGUGAUUAGGAGCAUUAGGAGCAUGCGGGGCAUGGCAACUGGCAACGCGAAAACUCACUAAAAAAAUGAUAAUAAACAACGAGAAUGAAUAGCUUAGGAUUAAAUUUAAUUUUAAAAAUGGGUUGUAUUUGUACUAAGGAGAUCAUUACGGUAAACUUGAGAAAAUAUAAAGUCUGCGAACAACUUGGAGACGGGGGAUUUAGUACAGUAGUUUUAGUUGAGGAUGUUAUUACACACAAAAAGUAUGCGAUUAAAAGAAUUAUUUGUCAUGGCCCAGAAGAUCAGCAAUUAGCAGCGAAAGAAGUUGAGUAUUAUAAAUUGAUAAAGCAUCCUAACGUUAUAGAAUGUAUAGAUUCGUCCUGCAACGGCAUGGCAGACCCAGUUGUAAAUACAACAAGUAAAAUAUUAAUUGUUUUACCAUAUUAUCACAAAGGAACUUUAGCGAAUGAUUUAGAACGACGAGCAAGGAAUUGUGAUUACAUGAGUUCUGCGGACAUUCUUAGGAUGUUUUUACAAAUCUGCGAAGGUGUAAAGGCAUUUCAUGAGGCUAAACCAGAACCACUGGCUCACAGAGAUUUAAAAACUGCAAAUAUAGUACUUAGCGAUGAUGGAACACCUGUUAUUAUGGAUUUAGGAUCUGUAACAACUGCCAGAGUUCAAGUAUGUGGUACUCAAGCUGCACGGACUUUACAAGACUUAGCCGCUGAAAGAUGUUCCAUGCCGUAUAGAGCUCCAGAAUUAUUUAACGUUGAGAGUUAUUGUAUGGUUGAUGAACGAACAGAUAUUUGGAAAUAUAGAAGUGGUGGGAAAUAUCAAAGUGUCAUUGGGAUGUAUACUAUAUGCACUGUGUUAUUUUAAAUCUCCUUUUGAUACUGUUUACGAACGAGGCGACAGCGUAGCUCUUGCUGUUAUUAGUGCACAUGUAACGUUUCCAGAAGAUACUCCAUACAAUGAAGUUGAUAUGCAAAAUUUAAUUUUGUCAAUGUUAAAAGUCAAUUCAAUGGAACGCCCGUAUAUAUAUAGUGUGAUAGAGAGCGUGCACGAUGCUAUUACCAAAUUAAAA